GCGGUAAUAGUUUAGGGGCAGAAUGCGAGCUUGCCAAGCUUGUGACCCGGGUCCGAUUCCCGGUUACCGCA
rnacentral:tRNA from 1 species